CGUUCGAAUGAACGUCAUCAAUGAUGACGUCCAAUACAUCACUCAUUCCAUAAAGUUUAGUCUGGAUUACCUGCCCCUUUUUAUACAAAGAGUCAGCAGGUACAGACGAACUUUGAGCGGAGGCGAUAACUGGUCUAUAGUUAUCAACAGCCAGUCAGUUACAGAUGCAUUGCGACAGAGACGUUGUUAUCUACGUCUCUGAUUGCGAACACAGAAUUAAACAACAUUGGUCAUAAUCUUACAUACAAGAGAUCGGCGGAGCAGGAAGAAGCCAUGUUGAUGCCCUGGCCAUUCUCUUUUUUAACAAAUCAGUCAUUGCAUCUGCACAUAUGACCAGAGAAAUGAAGGACUAUUGUGGAAACUCAACUGCCGAAGAACUUCAGUUAACCAGUAUUUUGGUUUUGAAACUAAGAAAGUCUAACAGUUUUCAAUUUGUUGUGAUUUGUGUAAUAAUGAACUGUGGAUAGAAUAUGAUUUUAUUAAACUGUCACCUAACUAAAAGCAUACAUAUUAUUAUUACAAGAUUCCUUGAUUAAUUGAAUUUCACAUCUUUUUAGGAAAGUCUAUCCUCGAAUAUUUUAAAUAUCUUAAAUAUAUUUGAUUGGAUUGAUAAAUUUAUCAUUUAUGUUUGAUGAAAAUGUAUAUUCUAUGUUGAAUUAAUGCAUAUGUAAGUGUGAGUGUGUGUGUAUGUUUGUGUGUUUCUGAGGAUAAUGCGUAUGGGUGAAAAUGUGUGAGAAUGGUACGGGAGUUGCGUGAUUUUUGUUUAUAAAUUAACAUUUGUUUGUAACGAUAUACCAUGUAGUAUAAGUAACCUAAUAAAGUUCUUUUCUGUUA